rnacentral:rRNA from 1 species
GACGAACGCUGGCGGCGUGCUUAACACAUGCAAGUCGAACGGUGAUGCUCCAGCUUGCUGGAGUGGAUCAGUGGCGAACGGGUGAGUAACACGUGAGCAACCUGCCCCAGACUCUGGAAUAAGCGCUGGAAACGGCGUCUAAUACUGGAUACGAAACUGGCCCGCAUGAGCAUGGUUUGGAAAGUUUUUCGGUUUGGGAUGGGCUCGCGGCCUAUCAGCUUGUUGGUGAGGUAAUGGCUCACCAAGGCGACGACGGGUAGCCGGCCUGAGAGGGCGACCGGCCACACUGGGACUGAGACACGGCCCAGACUCCUACGGGAGGCAGCAGUGGGGAAUAUUGCACAAUGGGCGAAAGCCUGAUGCAGCGACGCCGCGUGAGGGAUGACGGCCUUCGGGUUGUAAACCUCUUUCAGCAGGGAAGAAGCGAAAGUGACGGUACCUGCAGAAGAAGCACCGGCUAACUACGUG